rnacentral:rRNA from 1 species
UACGGAGGAUCCGAGCGUUAUCCGGAUUUAUUGGGCUUAAAGGGUGCGUAGGCGGCCUGUUAAGUCAGGGGUGAAAGACGGUAGCUCAACUAUCGCAGUGCCCUUGAUACUGGUGGGCUUGAAUGUACUAGAGGUAGGCGGAAUGUGACAAGUAGCGGUGAAAUGCAUAGAUAUGUCGCAGAACACCAAUUGCGAAGGCAGCUUACUAUGGUAUGAUUGACGCUGAGGCACGAAAGCGUGGGGAUCAAACAGG